GCUGGGGAUAGCUGAGUUGGUAGAGCAUGAGACACUUCAUCUCAAGGUGAUGAGUUCGAGCCCCAUGUUGGGCA